rnacentral:rRNA from 1 species
UGGUGGCGAGUGGCGAACGGGUGAGUAAUGCAUCGGAACGUGCCCAUCGAUGGGGGAUAACUGCGCGAAAGCGUUGCUAAUACCGCAUACGACCUACGGGUGAAAGCAGGGGACCGCAAGGCCUUGCGUCGACGGAGCGGCCGAUGCCGGAUUAGCUAGUUGGUGAGGUAAAGGCUCACCAAGGCGACGAUCCCGUAGCUGGUCUGAGAGGACGACCCAGCCACACUGGGACUGAGACACGGCCCAGACUCCUACGGGAGGCAGCAGUGGGGAAUCCUGGACAAUGGGCGAAAGCCUGAUCCAGCAAUGCCGCGUGUGGGAAGAAGGCCUUCGGGUUGUAAACCACUUUUGGCGGGAAAGAAAUGGUCUGUGCUAAUACCACGGAUUGAUGACGGUACCCGCAGAAUAAGCACCGGCUAACUACGUG